GCUCUUCUUUAAUGCAAGGUGUGAGCCAAUAGCAUCAGAACAGCGCCAAAACCAAGGCACUCUUGUCUGAGAAAAAGUUAAAAAGCCUUUAUUGAUGCGGCUAAUGCAUUGCAGAAAGAUUGUUUUUAAAAUACACCGUGUUUGCGCUACACAGGCCUUCCUCAGGGGGACUAACCAGAACGUGAGAUACAAACAGGAAAUAUAUAGGACAAAGACAGGAAGUGACAUCAUACUCAAAACCAUUGUAAAAUAGAGAAUGAAUGACAACACACAACAUACAGUUACAAUAUAUGAAACAGAAUCAAAGUGCUAAAUCUAUAUCUAAGAGAUUAUUUUCAGUUUCCUGAGAUGAAUGCACCCAGCAGUCGGCCCAGUUGACCCGCCCCCCGCCCCCCCAUGAAAGCUCUCGCAGCAGCUCCAAACGCAGCCGACGCCAUCGUUCAUGCUCAUGUAGACGACUGACUUGUCUCUUUUCCUACAGAUAUCUUAAUAUAUAAAUGUAUGUAUGUUCUAUAAGAGCUUUGUAAAAAAGAAACCGAUAUUUGCUAAUAGACUGAAAUAUUUUUUUCUUGCCAUUUAUAGUUCCUAUUUUGUGUGGUUGUUUUUUUUUCAUAACUAGUAAUUUCCCAGCUUUCUUUUUUUAAGCUGCUAACUUUUGCUAGUGAAAUAUCACUGAUAGAUUAAGUCCAGAGGGCUGUCAUCGACUCGUGACCCCUAUGAUGUAAGACUUGACCUCUUUGACUCCGCCCCCUCCCAUGAAAACACCUCCCGUUGGGUGCUGACGGAGCGGCGAGCCGAGAGGACUUUUUCAUAUAUUUAAUGUACAAAACAGAGUUUGUGCACAUUGUUUGCUUGGCUUUCUAAUUGUGUCAUUGUAAAAAAUGUCGUGGUGUCAUAGCACAUAUUUUGAAUGUUUAAUGAAUUUCAAAUAGUGUCGCUGAAAGUCAGAGGAACGCUUGAAGCCGCCUACACAUGAUAAGCAAUUUGCUCUCAAUGCACCGCUAGGUAGGGCGUCAUCAAGGCUGGCAAGAAAGCAAUUUCCCGUUGCUAGGUAACGACAUGCUGUUAUCUUAUCGGUUGCGCUUUUGAAAGCGGUUUUGCCGACUAUCAUGUGUAGGCGGCUUUAGUCUAAGAGGAGAAUGUAGUUUCCGAUGGCAUAAAGGGUGCUGUUAGUACACCUAUGAAAUCACUAGUGAAGUGCCUCAUGGCUGAGUUCCCCUUAUUAUCUCCUCUAGGAGUCGAUUUGAAACAUGUCCUGCAAUAUAUUUACUGAAUGAACUAGGUGACACUUAAUUUGGGAUUUCCCACAGAGGGCUAUCAGAAUAUUUUUACAGAUUCUAGUAUUAUUAAGACCUAAGAUACAUUUCAAUUUAAUGUCAGUAUAAGCAUCGCCGCCUCAACAUUUCUGUUGCCGUUUCUGGUUUUUGUAACAUGUGAUAUGUAGCCUACUGGCAGUUAGAGUAUGGAAACCAUUCUGUUAAUACAGUCAAGUUUGGUCUUUAUUGUGUAUCUUCAGUCUCAAAAUGUCAGUGCAGAGCUGCAAAGUCCUGAGUGUAGUAAGCUACCUACUAGCUAUCUACUCUGAAGUACUUGAGUUUUUAUAGAAACGGUGUACUUACUUUCCUAAUUAUUUUCUUAAUUAGAUGUUUUAUUUGCUCAUCCGGUUACAUUUAAAGUUGGAUGUUAAAGCUGGAACUCUGGACUUUGCAGUUGACAGGCUGAAAUGGAACCAUCACAAAACAUUUUCAAGAGGACAUAAUACAAUUUGGUUUUCAUUACCCUAAUCAUUUUCCAGACAAUACUGUUGAAAGUACCUGAAUACUUUUCUAGUACUAGUUCCACCUGUGGACAGCACAAAAUGUUUAUUUUUUCUUGGGUCACAUGAGCUCUGAGCAGAAUGAUGUGAGUGAGAAUGAAGCCAGAUGAUACACGGCCUCUCGGCUGAGUGGAAGACAAACCAGGCUGAAGCUCUUUCACCUAAAGCAGACAUUUUCUAAUUCAAGUAGCUGAAUGUAAUUAGAAAAGCUUUUUUUGUAAAUAAUUUGUUCAUACUAAUGCUGUGGGAUCAACUUACAAAUGUACUGUGACGGCAUCACACUUCUGCUGCCGUUUUAAAAGUGAAAUAAAGUUUAUCCUCUUUAGGAGACAGGAA